ACACUAGAAUCAAAUGGUUAGCUGUGUUUUUUAGGACCUUUGGAAGAGUAAGGCCCCAACAGAGCAGAUCCAUCUCAUCUCUCUCCCCAACCAAAUAGACCACUAGUACUCUCGGUGUUGCUUCGCUUCUAGAAGAUAGACCGGGACUCCCGCCAUCAUGUGUGGAUUCUACGACUAACUUGAACUCGGCGCGAUAAUCAUCAGAGGGAGUGGGAUUGCUCGUCGUGAUCGCUGUGGCACCAUGGAGUCGCCUUCGACGUCGUCAGGGGCCUUCGCGUCAUCACCGCUAAUCAGGAACAGAUAUCGCUAGAGGAGGAUUACUAUGAUGAGUUCGACAAGUUCUAUGCCAUUGUUUCCUAGUCAACCACACUUGUGGAGAAGUUAUCUUAGCUCGGUUUAUUUUAUUUAGUUAUUUUUGUAAAGACAUUUGUUACGAAAUAAAGUAUGUGACACUAGUUACUAUAUACUAAGUUGUCAUCUGUGUGAAACUUGAUCAUGGCACAUAUAUGAGAUGCAUCUGGAUUUGUCCUUAAA